AGCGAACGUUUGCGGCGGGCCUAACACAUGCAAGUCGAACGCACUAGCAAUAGUGAGUGGCGCACGGGUGCGUAACACGUGGGUAAUCAACCCUUCAGCUUGGGAUAACGACUUGAAAGGGUCGCUAAUACCGGAUACGGCGCGAGAGGCUUCGGCUUCUCACGAGAAAGCCUCGCAAGGGGGCACUGAAGGACGAGCCUGCGGCCCAUCAGCUAGUUGGUGAGGUAAGAGCUCACCAAGGCUAAGACGGGUAGCUGGUCUGAGAGGAUGAUCAGCCACACUGGAACUGAGACACGGUCCAGACUCCUACGGGAGGCAGCAGUGGGGAAUAUUGCGCAAUGGGCGAAAGCCUGACGCAGCCACGCCGCGUGAGCGAUGAAGGCCUCGGUUGUAAG
rnacentral:rRNA from 1 species